rnacentral:rRNA from 1 species
GAUGAACGCUGGCGGCGUGCCUAAUACAUGCAAGUCGAGCGAACAGAUGAGGAGCUUGCUCCUCUGACGUUAGCGGCGGACGGGUGAGUAACACGUGGAUAACCUACCUAUAAGACUGGGAUAACUUCGGGAAACCGGAGCUAAUACCGGAUAAUAUAUUGAACCGCAUGGUUCAAUAGUGAAAGACGGUUUUGCUGUCACCUAUAGAUGGAUCCGCGCCGCAUUAGCUAGUUGGUAAGGUAACGGCUUACCAAGGCGACGAUGCGUAGCCGACCUGAGAGGGUGAUCGGCCACACUGGAACUGAGACACGGUCCAGACUCCUACGGGAGGCAGCAGUAGGGAAUCUUCCGCAAUGGGCGAAAGCCUGACGGAGCAACGCCGCGUGAGUGAUGAAGGUCUUCGGAUCGUAAAACUCUGUUAUUAGGGAAGAACAAAUGUGUAAGUAACUAUGCACGUCUUGACGGUACCUAAUCAGAAAGCCACGGCUAACUACGU